rnacentral:lncRNA from 10 species
AGAAUUUGAAGUCAUUUGUGCAUAAAAGAUGAAUACUGGAUAAAUCACAGAAGGCCCCUGGCCUCAUGUAGCCAUCCUUGUCUUCGGGGAUUCUCUUGAAGCAAGAGAAUGAGCCCCAACAUUGGGGAAAAGGAAGUUUUAUGGGGUUUAAUUGCUGCUGAUCAUCGAGGCAGGAUUACCAGCCUAGCCAUGCUGCAUUCAGCCUGGAUUUUGUUGGAGAUAUUUUACAUGUUCCUGCUCGUCUAUUCCAAGUCUCCUAAAUAGUGAUUUUCUUCCACCCCCACCUCCACCUCUAGAUGAUUCCAGUGCCCUUCCAUCUAUCUCUGGAAACUUUCCUCCUCCACCACCUCUUGAUGAAGAGGCUUUCAAAGUACAGGGGAAUCCCGGAGGCAAGACACUUGAGGAGAGGCGCUCCAGCCUGGACGCUGAGAUUGACUCCUUGACCAGCAUCUUGGCUGACCUUGAGUGCAGCUCCCCCUAUAAGCCUCGGCCUCCACAG